rnacentral:rRNA from 1 species
CUUGAACGCUGGCGGCAGGCCUAACACAUGCAAGUCGAACGAGUGGCGGACGGUUGAGUAAUGUCUGGGAAACUGCCUGAUGGAGGGGGAUAACUACUGGAAACGGUAGCUCAUACCGCAUACCAUCAGAUGUGCCCAGAUGGGAUUAGCUAGUAGGUGGGGUAACGGCUCACCUAGGCGACUAUCCCUAGCUGGGCUGAGAGGAUGACCAACCACACGGGAACUGAGACACGGUCCAGACUCCUACGGGAGGCAGCAGUGGGGAAUAUUGCACAAUGGGCGCAAGCCUGAUGCAGCCAUGCCGCGUGUCUGAAGAAGGCCUUCGGGUUGUAAAGGACUUUUGUCAGGGAAGCGGUACCUGAAGAAUAAGCACCGGCUAACUACGUGCCAGCAGCCGCGGUAAUUC